UACAGAGGGUGCAAGCGUUAAUCGGAAUUACUGGGCGUAAAGCGUGCGUAGACGGUUACAUAAGUCAGGUGUGAAAGCCCCGGGCUCAACCCGGGAAGUGCACUUGAAACUGGGAGGCUAGAGUAUCGGAGAGGUUGGUGGAAUUCUCGGUGUAGAGGUGAAAUUCGUAGAUAUCGAGAGGAACACCGGUGGCGAAGGCGGCCAACUGGACGAAUACUGACGCUGAGACUCGAAAGCGUGGGGAGCAAACAGG
rnacentral:rRNA from 1 species